CUUGUUGGUGGGGUAAUGGCCCACCAAGGCUAUGACGGGUAGCUGGUCUGAGAGGACGAUCAGCCACACUGGGACUGAGACACGGCCCAGACUCCUACGGGAGGCAGCAGUGGGGAAUCUUGCGCAAUGGGCGAAAGCCUGACGCAGCAACGCCGCGUGGGGGAUGAAGGCUCUCGGGUUGUAAACCCCUUUCAGCAGGGACGAAAAUGACGGUACCUGCAGAAGAAGCCCCGGCCAACUACGUGCCAGCAGCCGCGGUAACACGUAGGGGGCAAGCGUUGUCCGGAUUUAUUGGGCGUAAAGAGCUCGUAGGCGGCUCGGUAAGUCGGGUGUGAAAUUUCAGGGCUCAACCCUGAAACGCCACCCGAUACUGCUGUGGCUAGAGUCCGGUAGGGGAGCGUGGAAUUCCUGGUGUAGCGGUGAAAUGCGCAGAUAUCAGGAGGAACACCAGCGGCGAAGGCGCCGCUCUGGGCCGUAACUGACGCUGAGGAGCGAAAGCAUGGGUAGCAAACAGGAUUAGAUACCCUGGUAGUCCAUGCCGUAAACGUUGGGCACUAGGUGUGGGUCUCAACCAACGAGAUCCGCGCCGUCGCUAACGCAUUAA
rnacentral:rRNA from 1 species